AUCAUCAAUAACAAGAAGAGAAAUAUAGUUGAAAAAUAAAUCAACCGUUAAAAAGGCUUCUUUUCUCUCCGAAUGAAGGCUCUGCAGCUCUGCUUCUUUCUUUUUCAUAGUACUUUCUACUGUUCCCCCUAAAAACAGCUAAAGAUCUAACUCUUUCUCUCUUCCCUCUCUCUAGAUUGCUCCCUGUUUCUUAGCAGCAGUUCUACGGAAUCCCAUCCCCACAGCUUCUUUUGCCUUUCUGCUCCCCAUACCCCCUUUUAACUCCCAUACCGUCAGAGUUUCCCACCCAAUUCCACUCUUCUCUUCUCUUCUCCCACAAACAACAAAUGGAUGAGUACUGUAAGAGAAGCGGACAAAUCCCGGCGUUCGGGGACUGGGAUUACGCAAACGAGCUGCCAAUCACUCAGUAUUUCGAAUGCGCGAGGCAAGCCGGUCUGAUUCGGUACAGUUCUUCCUCCGGCGACAGUGAUCCCUACGUGCGUGGCGACUUGUACGCCAUUGAUCUCAAGAAACCUCCUCGUACCGGUCCUCCUCCUCCCCGCAAGACAAGGGGAAGAGAAAAAAAGCGAGGGGCGCAUGUUAAGGAGCCGAAAAGGCAAGGGAAGGUGUGUGACGUGACGGAACCGCCAAGGAAAGCUAGUCGGCAGCUGCUGCCUCACUACGACGCCGUUCCACCUCCAAUGCCUGCUGCUAGGCGUCCCAAACCCGUUGAUGAAGAUCUCUACAAAAUCCCUCCCGACCUCCUCCGCACUUCCAAGCGGGGCCCAGGGGUGGGAAAUGGUAAAAGACUUUAAUGUCCUCUGGACACGUACGCGUACGUCUCUGUACUACGUCAAUAAGACUACUGAAAAAAAAUGCUGGUGUUCUUUUCAAGGUGCCUGGUACCGGCUUGCGCUGCAUGAAUUUGGACAACUCUCCAUGUUGCUUUUGGUUAUGUAGAAAAAUGUAAUUUGGUGCUCUCUAUGCACUCUUUGUUCCCACCAAAAAUUGAUGUUCUACUCUGUAUGAGAUUAGGGCAACUAGUUACAUUGAAGAUUAGAUGUUAAUUAGUUUCUUUUGUUUUUUUUGGUUUUAAUUUGAGUAGUUACACAAUUCUAAUUAAAACUAGUAAGUCGGAGGGGCACUUGCCGGACAAUUUGGGGUCGGUAGAGCCACCUCUUCCGCCUACCGCCGCAGUGGCCCACCCCAAUGUUGGAAAGUUGGUAAUUUUUGUGAGUUUUCCUGACAAAGGGCAAUAUUGUAAUUACCUGUUACUGUAGAAUGGGCCUUGGGCCUGUCAUGGGUUUUGAGAGCAUGGGCCUUUGUCCCAGCCAUUUGAGCUGAAGUUUUUUC